UGGAGGGAAGACCACGUGAAGACACAGGAGGAGACAGUCAUCCCCAAGCCAAGGAACGAGGCCUCAGAAGAAACCAAUCCUGCUGACACUUGGAUCUCGGACUUCUAGGCUCCAGAACUAUUGCAACUUCCAUCUUCCUGGCACACACUCUCUCUCACCGGCUUUGAUGAAGAAGUCGCCACGUUGGAGAGGCCCACAUAGCAAGGGUCUGCGGGUGGCUUCUGGGCAACAGCCGGUAAGGGGCUGAGGCCCUCACUCUAACAGGCCUGGAGGAACUGAGCCCUGCGAACAACCACCAGUGAACUUGGAAGUGGAUCCUGCCUCAGCUGAACCUCUGUUACAGGUUUGCAGGUCUGAAGUGUGAGAGAACAUGUUGGCAUUUCCACGUUGGUAUUUGACAUUAGCUGUACUUCUGUGCAAAAGCCUUGGCCUUCCUUGCCAUUGCAGACCCAGGCUCGGAGCGUCCAGGUAUUUGAAAGAAACACAGCCAGACGAAGAUCUUUGUUUUAUUCACUGAUGUAUUCCAAGGGCCUAAAACAGCACUUGACACACAUCAUGUGUUCAGUUAAUAAUUGCUCAAUGAACGAUUGCCAUUUUGGAGGGAGGAUGAAGAAUAAGCCUGAACCUCCUAGCAUCUGCCCCCAGUCGUGAGCCCGCCUGAUAAAAGAACCAACAUGGAGGAGAGCUGAACUGAGAGGGAAAGGAUGAGGCUAAGUUCUGAUAGCAUCAGUGGAGUGCCUGGAUCCAGCUAUGCCUGAAGAUAGAUAAACUUUUCAGUUACAUAAUUCAAUAAAUUCCCAUUUUCUUAUUAA